GAUGAACACUGGCGGCGUGCCUAAUACAUGCAAGUCGAGCGAACAGAUAAGGAGCUUGCUCCUUUGACGUUAGCGGCGGACGGGUGAGUAACACGUGGGUAACCUACCUAUAAGACUGGGAUAACUUCGGGAAACCGGAGCUAAUACCGGAUAACAUUUGGAACCGCAUGGUUCUAAAGUGAAAGAUGGUUUUGCUAUCACUUAUAGAUGGACCCGCGCCGUAUUAGCUAGUUGGUAAGGUAACGGCUUACCAAGGCAACGAUACGUAGCCGACCUGAGAGGGUGAUCGGCCACACUGGAACUGAGACACGGUCCAGACUCCUACGGGAGGCAGCAGUAGGGAAUCUUCCGCAAUGGGCGAAAGCCUGACGGAGCAACGCCGCGUGAGUGAUGAAGGGUUUCGGCUCGUAAAACUCUGUUAUUAGGGAAGAACAAAUGUGUAAGUAACUGUGCACGUCUUGACGGUACCUAAUCAGAAAGCCACGGCUAACUACGUG
rnacentral:rRNA from 1 species